AAGAAGAUAGUCCGUACCAUAAUUGCUAUCAUUUCAUGCUAGAAUGUGGGAAUGAUAUUUACUGGAGACGUAUUGAUCCUCAAAUACUGGCCAAACCUCUGCCAUAAAAACAUUUUGAGUGAUAGGGAGUGUUUUUAAUUGACAUAAAAAAAAAUACAUAGAUAUGUGCACAACAUGUCUACAUAAAUAUAUAAAAAAAAACAAUUCAGUUUUUAGAUUGUUGUUUUCGUAUCAAAAUGUAAUAGCCAUCCCGUAAAUACAUACAAACAUAUCGAAAAUAGAUGUACAUAUAUGUGCAUUUUUACCCAAUAGGAGGAACAUCCACGAAAGACAUCAUGUUCAGACUUUACUCUUGGUUUAUCUGCUGCAUCUUUCAACUUUGAGUUUGUAUUGAGCGACAAGAUAACCUAACCACAAAAGAAAAAUAAUUAUUGUAACAAAUCAAUUCAAGAAGUACAUAGCAAGUGUAAUCGCCGAUUACCUUCUAUAGGUAAAUAAACACCUCCAAGAAACGGUAGAAGGGAAAUGAAAGCGCGUUAAAGUAAUAGAAAAUGUGCAAACGCUGCUAAAAUAUUUGGCCUCUUCUAUUAAUUCAGUAUUAUUAUGUACACGUUAACGUCAGCGUGUAUAUAUUUGCUCUUAUAAUGUUAUCAGCAGUAUAUCUAAAAUAGUCAACGCCACAUACGAUAACACGUCGUGACCAAGAACUGCUCAAAAUACGAAAUACUACACUAUCUCUGGUCAAACAUCAGUAUUGUAAAUACAUAAAUAUACACAAAAUGGACGAAGUAUUUUCUUUACAUUUAGGAAAACUCGACAUUUUUGAUGUCUUCUUUCUUGCAGGCAUUUUAUCUUUAGUUAUACUAUUUUCUGUCUAAAAUGGGGCACCAACGACUGGAUGUUUGUUAAAAUUGUAAAAUUUUAUUUCAAUGCAACUAA